rnacentral:RNase_P_RNA from 3 species
GCGGAGGGCUGGAUGGCCGCGGGGGGCAACCUUCGAGGAAAGUCCGGACUCCACAAGAUAAGGGUGCCGGGUAACGCCCGGCCGGGGAAACCCGAGGGAAAGCGCCACAGAAAACAAACCGCCUUCGUGUCCCUCGCGGGAUACUGGGGUAAGGGUGAAACGGUGGGGUAAGAGCCCACCGCAGGACUGGCAACAGGACUGGCACGGCAAGCCCCACCCGGAGCAAUGCCGAAUAGGGAUCUCGCGCGGGGCCGGUCGGGCAACCGAUACCGCCGCAGGGCACGUCUUGGCCCAGAGAUCCGGGUUGGCAGCUGUAGGCGGGUUGGUAACAGCCCGCUCAGAGGAAUGGUCAUCCAGAGGGGGCAACCCCUUGGACAGAAUCCGGCUUACAGGCCCUCCGCGCAU